rnacentral:rRNA from 1 species
GACGAACGCUGGCGGCGUGCUUAACACAUGCAAGUCGAACGGACAGGCCCUGCUUUUGUGGGGUGCUCGAGAGGCGAACGGGUGAGUAAAACGUGAGUAUACUGCCCUUGACUGUGGGAUAACUUCAGGAAACUGGGGCGAAUACCCGAUAGAAGCUCCUGCUGCAUGUGGGGCGUUGGCAAGUCUCGGCGGUGUGGGAUGGAAUCGCGGCUUAUCAGCUUGUUGGGGGGGUAGUGGCUUACGAAGGCUUUGACGGGUAGCCGGCCUGGGAGGGUGACCGGCGUCAGUAGGACUGCGAUACGGACCAGUCGCCUACGGACGGCAGCAGUCGGGAACAUUGCACAAUAGGGCGGCGCGUGUUGCAGCGACGCCCCGUUCGUGAUGCUGUCUUACGGGUUGUGAACAGCUUUCUCCUGUAACGUAGCGUUCGUGACGGUAAUGUGUAAGGAAGCACCGGCUAACUACGUG